UGUGUAUAGGUGUACAGUGCACAAAAAGUUUUGAUCUUUUAAGGGUAUGGUGGGACUCCUACAUACACAA
rnacentral:tRNA from 1 species